rnacentral:rRNA from 1 species
GACGAACGCUGGCGGCAUGCCUAACACAUGCAAGUCGAACGAUCAGAUUAGGGGGUUGGUGGCCCAAGGGUACGUAAGGAGGGGGAAUCAGCCCGUGGGUACGGAAUAACAGCGGGAAACGGAAGCUAAUACAGGAUGAUAUAGCGAGAGCAAAGAUUUAUCGCCUUAGGAUGAGCCAGCGUUGGAUUAGGUAGUUGGUGGGUAAAAGGCGUACCAAGCCGACGAUCCAUAGCUGGGCUGAGAGGAUGAUCAGCCACACUGGGACUGAGACACGGCCCAGACUCCUACGGGAGGCAGCAGUGGGGAAUAUUGCACAAUGGGCGCAAGCCUGAUCCAGCAAUGCCGCGUGAGUGAUGAAGGCACGAGGGUUGUAAAGCUCUUUUACCCGUGAAGAUAAUGACUGUACCUGGAGAAUAAGCCCCGGCUAACUCCGUG